rnacentral:lncRNA from 1 species
UUCUCCAACUCAUGCUCUGCAGAAGGGGGUUUUGACAUAAUUUGGUGUCAGAAGUAGAAUUGAAGCUGGUUAGUUGGACAGAUGGACAACCCCUGAAAUUGAGUGAAUUGCCUGUGCUGAGCCCUUUUGAGCUCUCCACCUCCGUGGCUGACCUUUUCUACCCUGCUGAAUCUCCUCUCAGAUUCCUGGACUCCUUUUUGGGCUAAGGAAUUGGGUUACUUUGUGCCCCGCCUCUGCCCGCAGGGAAGACCAUUCCUGGAUUUACCCUUCGAGGGAGCAGUAGAAGCGGAUCUGGCAUGAAGUGGGGGACACAACUCCCCUUAUGCUCCCAGCACAUCUCCUGGGCUGAGGCCAUCUCAGAUUGGAAGACCAGCUUUCCAAAGCAAGUCUCCUCCACAUCAUGAAGGAGAAAAAGGUGAAACAUUUGAUGUCCUGAUGGUAAUAGGAUCACAGGCUCUAAAACAUGAGGGAGGUGGGGCUGGACAAAGUCUUUAGGAGACUGCUGAAUUGUUGACUUUAUUCCAAGUCAGGAUCCCGAGUAAUCACUGAGCCUCAGUAUAAUUAUAUGCACAUGAGAAGCUAUUUAUUUCUUGCAUUCUGCUUAUCUUUGCCAAGAAAACACUCCUCCCCCAUGCCUUAAAAUGCCCAGAGACAUGGUUCUGGAUGAGCCACUUGGAGGGCUAAGGGCACCUGCUGGCUGAGGCCCAUGAGAACACACCAGCCCUGUGGGGAAAGUGUGGAGCUCAUGUACCCACUGCCCUUUCCCUGCUCAGAGCAGGGCAUCCCGACAGCAGCUAUGAAUGCACCUGCUCUGAGCAUCUCCCCGCCAGGCUCUGUGCACUCCAUCAGGGUCCUCUUCUGAGCCUGGCACUGCUCACCUGGGCAGAGAGUCCACUCAAGCCCCAGAGUCCUUGGCUUCAUUGGAAGUUCCUCCUGGGAGCAUCAACACAGCCCUUUCCCCCGUAUCCACUGGCUUUUGGGGAGCUGGGCCUGGGAAGCCCUUUUCUCUCCCUACGCUGUAUUCAUCCUGCCAGCCAAGCUGGAGCCUCUGCAUUUUUUAGUCCAAUUAUUGGCAGCUGUACAGGUUUCCCAGAACACCUGGCCCUCCUCACCCUCAUUCUGUGGCAUUAUUUAAUCAAACUGGCUAGGAGUAUUUAUAGCUCCCCUGAAAGGCAGCAGCCGCUCCAUUCCCGGGAAAGUGGAACAUUGAGACAUUAAAGAGUAUUUUCAAAAGAAAAAAAGUCCUCUCACAGACUCAUGAUGUUGCCAUCCCAAUGUGUCUUCCAAAAAUAGGCCUCCCGGACAGCUCCUCG